CCUACGGGUGGUAGCAGUGAGGAAUAUUGGUCAAUGGUCGGGAGACUGAACCAGCCAAGCCGCGUGAGGGAGGAAGGUACAGAGUAUCGUAAACCUCUUUUGUCAGGGAACAAAGACUGGGACGCGUCCCCGGAUGAGUGUACCUGAAGAAAAAGCAUCGGCUAACUCCGUGCCAGCAGCCGCGGUAAUACGGAGGAUGCGAGCGUUAUCCGGUUUUAUUGGGUUUAAAGGGUGCGAAGGGGGUCUGUUAAGUCAGCGGUCAAAGUCGGGGGCUCAACCCCGGCCGGCCGUUGAAACUGGCAGUCUCGAGUUGGAGAGAGGUAUGCGGAAUGCGCGGUGUAGCGGUGAAAUGCAUAGAUAUCGCGCAGAACUCCGAUUGCGAAGGCAGCAUGCCGGCUCCACACUGACGCUGAGGCACGAAAGCGUGGGUAUCGAACAGGAUUAGAUACCCGUGUAGUC
rnacentral:rRNA from 1 species